rnacentral:lncRNA from 1 species
UUGGAUCUCGUCCCGCCGCAAGGCUGCUCAAUCUCGUGCCUCCAGGCCGAUCCAGUCGAGUCCCUGCUCGUUCCAGGUGUGCCCCACCCCGCUACAGUCACCCGCCUGCCCCGAUCCAGUCAACCGCCCGCCCUGGCGUCACGCACGGCUUCUGUCUCGAGGGCGUUGCUCAGCUCCCAGCCGCCCCGUCCUCUGGUUCCGCAGCCGUAAGCCAGAUCGAUCCGUCACUCCCGUGAUCCAGCCGCCCCCGUCGAAGCUACUGGAUCUCGAAGUCCCGACGAGACCCGCCACGAUCCCGCUGCGGUGCUGGAUCUCGAAGCCCCGGCCCGUCCCGAUC